rnacentral:piRNA from 1 species
UAAACUUAUACAGAUUGUGAUCCCUGAGGC